AAACUCACCCUGACGGAAAGCUUCAGCACACUUCUCGGUCUGUCGCACCAGUCUGCGAGCAUUCUGCACCACAGCAGGCAACCGAGCAUACCAGUUCCUCAGCACAUCCUGCAGCAGAUUCCGUGCCAGUCGAGUCUUGCCAGUAUACACCAGGAGCAGGUGGUCAUUGAUCUUCUGGACAAACCCCUCAGGCACAGUGAUUUCCUCCACCUCCACCUUUAGAGGUAGCUGGGCCCGGGAGCGUCCCACCUUGAUGCCAGGCACUAGGCCACUCACUUGGUCCUGCCAGCCACCUCCUAUGAGCCCAAAGUCCUGUCACUUUUGGAGCCUAUAUGGCCCAACCUUGCCCAGCCUCGUUUCGUUGCCUUGAACCUCUACUGGAAUCAGAAUGGGAAGACAGCUUGUCCCAACUCCGGCUGAGACUAGUUAGCCAUGAUAGCAAGCCAAUCCCGGAAGGGGAAAGGGGCUGCAGUCAAGACCUAAGUUUGUCGCAGAUCUGACACAAUCAGAGUCAAUAUAAGACACAUCAGAAAAUAUACUUCCACAUAAUCUGUCAGUGCCUCAACAAUCUGUCUUCUAAGAAUGUUUGAAAAUAAGUUCACGGAGGCAAAAAAGAUGGCUGCAAUUAAAAAUGCUUAUUGCUCUUACAGAAGACCAGAAUUUGGUUUUCAGCACCCACAUCUGGCAGCAAACAACCACCUGUAACUCCAGCACAAGUGGAUUAAAUAGCUUCUGGCCUCUGUAGACACCACAUGUACACAUACCCACAGAAAGAUACAUGUAACACAAAGAUAUCUUUGUUUGUUUUGUUUUCAAGACAGAGUUUCUCUGUGUAAGGGAGCCCUGGCUGUCCUGGACUUGCUUUGUACAGAGAUCCACCUGCCUCCCCAGUGCUGGAAUUAAAGGCAUGGGCCACCACACCCAGCUAAAGAUGUUUAAGAAGAGGGGGAGACAGCUCUCCAGAGUAAGUUCUAGCACAGCCAGGGCUACAUUGUAUAUGUGUAGGUAUGUGCACAUGAAUGCAGUACCCAAAGAUGUAUCAGAUCCCUUGAUGCUGGAGCUACAGGUGGCUGUGAGCUAGGAACUCUCUGGCCCCUCCACCACCUAGAACUAAUUGGCUACACUGGCUGGCCAGUGAGUCCCCGGGGAAUCCUUGUGCCCACCUCCCAGUACAGGGAUUAUAAGCAUGUGCUUUCAUGCCUAGAUUUCUGCACUGGUCCUGGGGAUCUAAGGUCAGGUCCUCAUGUUUGCACAGCAAACACUUUACCCACAAGCUAGCUCUCUAACAUGUAGUCCCUCGGUAUUUAAGAAUCUAAAGUAUGGAAUGCAGAUGGUAAGCCAGAGCCAGGAAGCGUCAAGAAUUUGACUAUACCCUGCUUCAGAACACUCAGUGCAAGUGCAAAUGAUACAUUCACACCAGGCUACUGAUGAGUGUCUCUGUCCCUUACAUCCCAUGUCUUUUAAGACUAGGAAACAUGUUUCUGCUUGUUUUAUCCCCAAGCCUCAAUAGAGCAGACUAUCAAUAAAUGUCAGUUGAGCAAA